AAGUCGUAACAAGGUUUCCGUAGGUGAACCUGCGGAAGGAUCAUUACAACGUAUCCAACGUUUCAACCAACCCCAGUGAACUUGUUCUCUCUCCCUCGACGAUGUUGCUGCUGCAGCGUAGAAGUGUGCGUCUCUUUGGACGUAUGCAGACGGUUGCCAGUAAUGGAAUUGAGGCUUGUUGCUCUCUCGCUCUCUCGACUGCGUGUCGAAGACGAGUAGAGUUGACUCCAUACAAACCAAUGUCACCUAUAACUAUACGACACUCUUCAACCAGUGUCAAUCAUAAUAUUAUUUUUCGUUCGACUGAGUUCGACUCACCUCGACUCGUCGUUUCACGUUUAUUUAUAUUAACGUGCAUAACAACUCUUUGCGAUGGAUGUCUUGGUUCUC
rnacentral:misc_RNA from 1 species